rnacentral:tRNA from 1 species
UCCCUCUUAGCUCAGUCGGUAAAGAAUCUGCCUGCAAUGCAGGAGACCUGGGUUCAGUUCCUGGGUUGGGAA